GCAGUUAUUCAUUUAACAGUUAUUUAUAGCACUUUUUAAUAAUACAGGCAGGGAGGUGGGUACAAAGGCUAUGCAACAGUAACCAGACACAGUCCCUGAGCUCAGGGAGUGAGGUGGGCAAGUUACUUCUCUCUGAGUCUCAGUUCUCUCAUCUGAGGGAGUGGUAUAGUGAUCAGGGGACUGUCUCUAUCAAUUUCUGACCUUUGGCAUAAAUUCCUGUCCACACACCUAACUGACUUCAGGCUUCUAGAGAGGCCACCGCUGAUUGGAUGAGGGUAAACACCUGAUCGAGAAGUGGCCAAUCCACGAGCUGACCAAAAGCCUAGCACUUGUGCUGUUAGCAAAGUAAUGGUUUGUUUGCUGUGUUCUUGGACCAGAAAAUACUGUUUCCUAGAACUAGAAUUAGGACUGAGAAAAUAAACAAAGUUUGUGAGAACUUGUUUGCUCCCCAGGGAGCUGACCUUUCUGAAAGAGCCUUUCCCAGGAUGCCUUGCAGGAAGGUGUAGCACCUGUGAGUAGCCAGCCUGGAGCUACCUGGAGGACAGGAUUUGGGCGUGAAUGAAUGUUGCUCAGGAGGAGUUCCUCAGGACUUCUUUUUCUUGAUAAGUAAUGGUAACUCAGCCACCAGCAGAAUCUAGCUGACACCCAGUUGAUGGUUGACCAGAAAUCCCAUACCUUUCUGCCGGCCGCCAUGGUACUCUGGAGCUGAAAAUGGGUGUUGAGAACACAGUCUCUCAGGAGGCUCUGAGAAGGGCUUGAGUGAAAUGGGUUUGCUGUGAUGUGACAGAUGGGCUCUGAGCGGCUGAGUCAAGACUGGGAAGCUCAGGCCUACCUGAUACUGGUACAUCUGGAUCCGCCCUUGAGGUCAGGCUUAGCGAUGGCCUGGUCAUGAUAGGCCUGCUUGGAAUGGGUUUAAAUAUUGGCUCUGGGGUGCCUGGGUGGCUCAGCUGGUUAAGCGUCUGACUCUUGGUCUUGG